rnacentral:lncRNA from 1 species
UUUGAUUCAUGAAAAUUAGUAAACAAUAACAAUGAGAAUCAACUCCAUUCCUUUGCUAAUUCCAUAUGUUUACUAAACAACUUAAUGAGAAUUAUUCUUUCCAUACCGAUUCAAUACUUCCCCGAUUCCUAAAUUCUCUGAUUCCUUACUUUCUCCAUUACUGAUACAUAAACAUGCCCUUAAAGUCAACUAUUUUUAAUAGUGUCAACCCACGUUAAAAUAGUGAACAUAAAAUAUUUAUAAAAUUAAAUAAAACAAAAUUGUCG